rnacentral:misc_RNA from 1 species
CGCACCUUGCACCUUUUGGCAUUCCGAAAGGUACAUCUGUUUGAGUGUCAUGAAUCCCUCAACCUCCACAUUUCCUUGUGAGAUGGACGGAGGCUGGAUGUUGAGCGUUGCUGUCUCACAGACAGCUCGCUUCAAGUCGAUCAGCAAUCUCGAUAGUGCUCGGAUUGACCCAACGUGAUAAGAUCUUCGUUGGGAAAUGCUUUCAUUAGCAGCCGGAACACUGUAUGAGUCGCUCCUAAAAACUGCUUGUGCCUCUGGCAUGAUCACCCCUCUACUUUAGACCUCAAAUCAGAUGGGACUACCCGCUGAACUUAA